UGAGGAGGAAGCCCCGGCUAACUACGUGCCAGCAGCCGCGGUAAUACGUAGGGGGCUAGCGUUAUCCGGAUUUACUGGGCGUAAAGGGUGCGUAGGCGGUCUUUCAAGUCAGGAGGGAAAGGCUACGGCUCAACCGUAGUAAGCUCUUGAAACUGGGAGACUUGAGUGCAGGAGAGGAGAGUGGAAUUCCUAGUGUAGCGGUGAAAUGCGUAGAUAUUAGGAGGAAC
rnacentral:rRNA from 1 species